GGAAGGAUCAUUAACAAAAAAUGAACUUACUAACUAACCGAAUAUUUAAUACUGCUCUGUGGUAUUACUUUAAACCAAUAUAAUAACUCUAUAAUAUACUAUAUGGUUGAUAAAACUCUAAAUUUUCAACGAUGGAUGUCUUGGCUCCCAUAUCGAUGAAGAACGCAGCAAGAAUGCGAUAUGCAAUGUGAAUUGCAGAACCACGAAUCAUCGGAUAUUUGAACGCAACUGGCGCUAGCCAAACUAGCAUACUUGUUUCAGUGUGCGCAAACACAUAACAAAAUAUAAAUGUGAGAGAUUCUCUCUCAUGAAAUACAUGCUCCUGCAGCAGUUCACUCUGUGAAUAUACUUGCAGUGUUUGAUACAAUACCAAAUUUGCACCUGAAAUCAAGUAAGAUGACCCGCUGGACUUAAGCAUAUUAUUAAGCGGAGGAGAAGAAAUUAACUAAGAUUGCCUUAGUAAGGGCGACUGAACCGGCAAAAGCUCGAAAUUGGAAUCGGCGAUUCAAAGAAUCCCCGAAUUGUAAUCAGGACUGCCUAAAUACGAGAGAUUGCUCAAUCAUGUCGAAACGUGAGCCAGAGAGGGUGAAAGCCCCGUACAGCUUUUUCUCGCUUAAGGGAGUUCCCAAAAGAGUCGGGUUGCUUGGAACUGCAGCCCUAAGAGGGAGAUAUGAAUCUUCCAAAGCUAAAUAAAGAUGGGAGACCGAUAGCGAACAAGUACUGUGAAGGAAAGAUGAAAAGGACUUUGAAAAGAGAGUGAAAAGAUCUGAAAUCGUUGAGAAGGAAGCGGUAGAAACUGACGGUCGUACUGAAAGAUCACGUGGCCACAAGCUACGGAAGUCUUCCCAGAACGACGGGCAAAAUGAAGUCAGCUGCAUCAAAAAAGGGUCAAACCGUGUAAGAUGUGGCUGGCUUGAGGGACUAUUGUGAUUUUGCCAAAAUGGUUUUUACUGUCCCGUCUUGAAACACGGACCAAGGAGUCUAACAUAUAUGCGAGUGUGCGAGUGGAGAAACUCAUACGCGGAAUGAAAGUAAAAGGUGCGCAGCGCAAGCGACAGCAUCGACCGACCUAGUAAGAAAGGUUUGUGUAAGAGCAUAUCUGUUAGGACCCGAAAGAUGGUGAACUAUGCCUGAGUAGGGUGAAGUCAGGGGAAACCCUGAUGGAGGCUCGUAGCGUUGUUGACGUGCAAAUCACUCGUCAAACUUGGGUAUAGGGGCGAAAGACUAAUCGAACCAUCUAGUAGCUGGUUCCCUC
rnacentral:misc_RNA from 1 species